GUCUAAGGCCAUAGCACCCUGAACGCGCCCUAUCUCAUCUGAUCUCGGAAGCUAAGCAGGGUCGGGCCUGGUUAGUACUUGGGUGGGAGACCACCUUGGCAUACCGGGUGCUGUAGGCU
rnacentral:rRNA from 1 species